UACGUAGGGCGCAAGCGUUAUCCGGAAUUAUUGGGCGUAAAGAGCUCGUAGGCGGUUUGUCGCGUCUGCCGUGAAAGUCCGGGGCUCAACUCCGGAUCUGCGGUGGGUACGGGCAGACUAGAGUGAUGUAGGGGAGACUGGAAUUCCUGGUGUAGCGGUGAAAUGCGCAGAUAUCAGGAGGAACACCGAUGGCGAAGGCAGGUCUCUGGGCAUUAACUGACGCUGAGGAGCGAAAGCAUGGGAGCAAACAGG
rnacentral:rRNA from 1 species